rnacentral:lncRNA from 1 species
UCAGUUUCAAUUUUACAUUUUUAAUAAGCUGAAAUAUAAAAUGAAGGGAGAAAGUACUAUAAGAUUGUUAUAAGCAGAAAUAUAGAUUGUGAAACUUAUGAAUGAGAAAAUUUCCUAUUCCUUGUUGCUUUUGCCUCUAGCAUGGGCACCAACAACCUGUGCUGCCUUCUUAGCAGCCUUUUCUUCAAGUGCCUCUGAAUCCCUAUACAACCAGAAACAUAAAAUGCAUAAUCAAAGGUGAACCACAAUAAGGACAAAAUAAAAU